rnacentral:rRNA from 1 species
UGAGGAAUAUUGCGCAAUGGGGGGAAACCCUGACGCAGCGACGCCGCGUGGGCGACGAAGGCCUUCGGGUCGUAAAGCCCUUUUGGCAGGGACGAGUGAGGACGGUACCUGUCGAAUAAGUCUCGGCUAACUACGUGCCAGCAGCCGCGGUAAAACGUAGGAGGCGAGCGUUAUCCGGAUUCACUGGGCGUAAAGCGCGCGUAGGCGGUUGGUUAAGUCGGACGUGAAAGCCCCUGGCUCAACUGGGGGAGGCCGUUCGAUACUGGCCGGCUUGAGGGUGAGAGAGGGAAGUGGAAUUCCCGGUGUAGCGGUGGAAUGCGUAGAGAUCGGGAGGAACACCAGUGGCGAAAGCGGCUUCCUGGCUCACCCCCUGACGCUGAGUGCGCGAAAGCGUGGGGAGCAAACGGGAUUAGAUACCCCGGUAGUCCACGCUCUAAACGAUGAGGGCUAGGUGUUGGUGGGAUUUCCCAUCUGUGCCGAAGCAAACGCGUUAAGCCCUCCGCCUGGGGACUACGAGCGCAAGCUU